rnacentral:rRNA from 1 species
AAAUUGAAGAGUUUGAUCAUGGCUCAGAUUGAACGCUGGCGGCAGGCCUAACACAUGCAAGUCGAACGGUAACAGGAAGCAGCUUGCUGCUUCGCUGACGAGUGGCGGACGGGUGAGUAAUGUCUGGGAAACUGCCUGAUGGAGGGGGAUAACUACUGGAAACGGUAGCUAAUACCGCAUAACGUCGCAAGACCAAAGAGGGGGACCUUCGGGCCUCUUGCCAUCGGAUGUGCCCAGAUGGGAUUAGCUAGUAGGUGGGGUAACGGCUCACCUAGGCGACGAUCCCUAGCUGGUCUGAGAGGAUGACCAGCCACACUGGAACUGAGACACGGUCCAGACUCCUACGGGAGGCAGCAGUGGGGAAUAUUGCACAAUGGGCGCAAGCCUGAUGCAGCCAUGCCGCGUGUAUGAAGAAGGCCUUCGGGUUGUAAAGUACUUUCAGCGGGGAGGAAGGCGAUAAGGUUAAUAACCUUGUCGAUUGACGUUACCCGCAGAAGAAGCACCGGCUAACUCCGUGCCAGCAGCCGCGGUAAUACGGAGGGUGCAAGCGUUAAUCGGAAUUACUGGGCGUAAAGCGCACGCAGGCGGUUUGUUAAGUCAGAUGUGAAAUCCCCGGGCUCAACCUGGGAACUGCAUCUGAUACUGGCAAGCUUGAGUCUCGUA